AUGCUCACUUUGGCAGCACAUAUACUAAAAUUGGAGUGAUACAGAGAUUAGCAUGACCCCUGUGCAAGGAUGACAUGCAAAUUCCUAAAGCAUUCCAUAUUUUC
rnacentral:snRNA from 1 species